GCUAGCUUCGGGCCAGCAGCAGGGGGAAUGCGAGGGGGGGUGGGUUUGUUCGGAAGCGCUGGGCGUAAAGGGCGCGUAGGCGGCGUUGUAAGUCGGGGGGGAAAGCCUGUGGCUCAACCACAGAAUUGCCUUCGAUACUGCAUGGCUUGAGACCGGAAGAGGUAAGUGGAACUGCGAGUGUAGAGGUGAAAUUCGUAGAUAUUCGCAAGAACACCAGUGGCGAAGGCGGCUUACUGGUCCGGUUCUGACGCUGAGGCGCGAAAGCGUGGGGAGCAAACAGGAUUAGAUUGCCCUGUAGUC
rnacentral:rRNA from 1 species